rnacentral:rRNA from 1 species
UACGUAGGGUGCAAGCGUUGUCCGGAAUUAUUGGGCGUAAAGAGCUCGUAGGCGGUUUGUUGCGUCGGCUGUAAAAUCCCGAGGCUCAACCUCGGGUCUGCAGUCGAUACGAGCAAACUAGAGUGUUGCAGGGGAGACUGGAAUUCCUGGUGUAGCGGUGAAAUGCGCAGAUAUCAGGAGGAACACCGGUGGCGAAGGCGGUCUGCUGGGGUCGAACUGACGCUGAGGCGCGACAGCGUGGGGAGCAAACAGG